CUAUGUUGUAUCGUAAAGCUUGGAUAGUUUUAUUGUAUGUUACCAGUGUAACUGGCUGCGUCUUACUCUGCUUGUAUGGUGGAAAUUCAUAUCCAUCUCUCACUUGCACAAUAUUACUACUUCCUCAGAGUCGUGACACCCUUGUGCACAAGUUGCAUGACAAGCAGCUGCAGGUUUUCACCAACUUCCUUGCAUGCUUUGUGAAGCCAGAAAACCUGCCACCAAUCCCCAGGAUCCUAGCAGGUCUCGAACUCAAGGGAGACAAACUGCUGCCUGCAAGAGACCUGUAUGUGUGUCGAGUGGCAGAUAGAUUCAGACGGGAGCAUCCUCAACACCAUCUGCUGAAGCCCUUCCUGGACCAAGGCAUACAUCACAUGUGGGGAAUACCUGCAGAGCAAGCUGCCACAGGAGAGCAUGACCCUGCAGUGCCUGUCUGCUGUUGACCCUAUUGCAAGGGGGCACUCCAAGACUGGACGUCUGCUGAGACGACUUGCGGAGAUGUUUACCCAGUUUCUCCCUGCUGAUGGGGAUGUUCAGCAAGAGGUUAGCUGGAAAAUGCACUUCCCUAAUGUUCUCCAGUAUGGCGUAGACCAGAGCCUGCAAACUUUCAGAGAAGGAGAUGAUGCUGUCAGCUGGUGGGCAGCUGUCUUUGAAACGGGAAGGUACCCAGGGCUCAGCAUGGCAGUAAAGGCAGCAUUGUCGGUGUUCCAUGGGCCAACGGUGGAGUCCUCAUUCAGUCUUAUGUCUGAAAUCAUAGACUCGAAAAGUGGCAGCAUGAACAUUUCCACUCUGAGUGCCAUGCAAACUGUCGAACACACCUUGCUGCAUGGCUGAUCUCUUCUUUCAUCGCUGUACUUUCUUACGGAGGCUAAUUCCCGCUCGGCUACCUAAGCAGUAAGGUCUACAGUGGUUUACUGUGAUGUAAAGCAGCCAGGGGCAUCGUUAGACUUCAGAAAGUGGCUUAUUGCUUUUAUAAACGGUUACGGAAACGGUUUACAAUAGACUACCUGGUAAGAUUUCACAAAAUAAACUCAUUCUGUUAGUUUGUUUCUCUUAAUGUACUUAAAUAUCUAAUAUGUAGUAAAAAGCGGGUUUUGAUAAAUCGGUUAGUCGCUUUUAAGGGCACCGGCGGGGGUCAACUAGGUGUCAAAUAGGGGUCAGCUAGGGGUCAAGGGGAAGUGGCUCUCUGUGUUUCUGUUUUCUGUUUCUCUCGGUGAGGCCCCUAAACACCGAUUGGACCGUCUUUAUUCCAGCUGAUCACAUGCUGGCCUCGUUCCACUUUAACAGCCGCUAAUCCGUUAAGGAGCUGCGACUGGACCGCGGCCGUGGCCAUUCCCGCCUGGUUCCGUCUCGUUGUGAUUCUGGCUGUGACCUUGUUUGUUGGGGGGGAGGGACAUUCCCCCCCCCCCCACUCAACACCUUCCCCCUGUCCCUCCCCCUCCCCCCUCGUCUGUAGGAAGGCGAGGCAGCCAUGGUGAUUGAUGGGUGUGAUGUGUCAGAAGAGCUCUGGGAGCCCACCUUCUCCUCCACGGUCUCGCUUGCUUCUGAGCUCCCGCUCUACACCUACCCCGCCAGCGAGCCCAGCAGCCAGGCCUCUAGAUCCCUGCUGGUGGACGAGAGACAUCCCUGGAGGAGGAAGAGUCGUGACACCCUUGUGCACAAGUUGCAUGACAAGCAGCUGCAGGUUUUCACCAACUUCCUUGCAUGCUUUGUGAAGCCAGAAAACCUGCCACCAAUCCCCAGGAUCCUAGCAGGUCUCGAACUCAAGGGAGACAAACUGCUGCCUGCAAGAGACCUGUAUGUGUGUCGAGUGGCAGAUAGAUUCAGACGGGAGCAUCCUCAACACCAUCUGCUGAAGCCCUUCCUGGACCAAGGCAUACAUCACAUGUGGGGAAUACCUGCAGAGCAAGCUGCCACAGGAGAGCGUGACCCUGCAGUGCCCGUCUGCUGUUGACCCUAUUGCAAGGGGGCACUCCAAGACUGGACGUCUGCUGAGACGACUUGCGGAGAUGUUUACCCAGUUUCUCCCUGCUGAUGGGGAUGUUCAGCAAGAGGUUCUCCAGUAUGGCGUAGACCAGAGCCUGCAAACUUUCAGAGAAGGAGAUGAUGCUGUCAGCUGGUGGGCAGCUGUCUUUGAAACGGGAAGGUACCCAGGGCUCAGCAUGGCAGUAAAGGCAGUAUUGUCGGUGUUCCAUGGGCCAACGGUGGAGUCCUCAUUCAGUCUUAUGUCUGAAAUCAUAGACUCGAAAAGUGGCAGCAUGAACAUUUCCACUCUGAGUGCCAUGCAAACUGUCGAACACACCUUGCUGACCCGGAAGCAGACUGCAGUGGAGAUGUUCAAAAGAGAAGACCUUAAGUUAAUAAAGAGUUUGCAGGUCUGCAGAAGGGCCCCCGUGUACACCCGGAAAUUGUUGACAUAGCCUGUCUUGCUCUCCGCCAUCACCCACACCUUUACUCCCCACUUCACCGGCUUCAUGGGGAGGUACUGCCGGAAGGCCAGGCAUCCCUUGAACUUGACCAUGGACUCAUCCACGGUCACAAAGCCAUUGACCUCAUAGAGAUCCUGGAAUCUGACGAGGAGGUCCAUGAAUCCCUUAAGCUUCAAGGGAUCCCGCAUUUCCAUUACCUUGUACACGUCCCGCAAAUUGAGACGUUGUCCCGCAUUGUUAUUAGGGCUGGCCCGAAUUAUUCGAAUAUUCAAAUACUCGUUGGGAAAAUUAGUAUUCAAAGCUUAAAUGAGUAUUCGGGAGCUUCGUUGUUUCACGUAGGGCCUACGUGACGUUACCAGAGCGAGGGAGGCAAACUAUAAGCGACACUAAGCAGAGAAGCGAGAGAGGUGGAGGAAGAAUAGAUAUCUUGUUUCCCUUUACUUUAUAACAACAUUAGCGGGAUCUCGGGAGGAAAAUACAUGCUUAGUGAAAUGCUAACCUAAGCUUAGUUGUUUGUUUACGUUCGCCGUACAGCGCCGCGCAAAUCAACUGUGACUGGCUUGCUGCAGAGUGUGAGCGUCUUGCAAAUACCCGGUCAAUAUAAUGGAUAUAAUAUGGACACAUAAGACAAUCAAUAUUCGUUAUUUGCUAUGGAAUUAUUGUACAAAUUCCCUGAAAAGAUGCACGUUCCAGAAUGAAUUGAAAAGCUCCCCCUAAGGGCUGAGAUGGCAGAGGACAGCUGAUUUUGUACGGAACAACAGCUGUUCGCUUCCACGGGGAAAAACUAAGUAAAUCCAACUUACUUAGGCCUACUAAUUGAUGUUCAAAAGCUAUUAAAUCUUCAACAAAAUAUGCAGAUGCUGUCAAAAUUGGUUCCAGGGAGUAUAUAGUGAUUAUUAAUGUUGUUUUUGAUGGUGUGUUUUUCUGGAAUGAGUAUUCGAAUUUUCGCUCGGAAAAACCAACGAGUAAUCGAAGCCAAAAA
ensembl:lncRNA